UUUCCUUAUAUUAAAAUAUUCACAUCUCAAAGCUAAUAAAACAUACAAAUCAUGGCUCGUUUCCAGUGAUAAUUUGCACUGGUUUGCAGAUGAGAACUUACAAUAUUUUUUUAUGGUUGCUUUUGCAGCUUCUUGGGUGCCAUGGUCGACUUGCUGCACGACAACCUGGAAGGGCUUUUCUUGAAGCAGUUUAGGAAUUGGAGCAUAUUUACUUUUCUGCAUGCGACUGAAUGAAAUUUUGUGGCUUGACCUUCUCUCUACUUGUUAUCAAGUUGAAAAUUUGAGCAUAUCGAGAGGAUUGACUGUUGAUUAAUUUUUGUUAUUCUUGUGCUGUCCCUUGCCAUCUCUGCUUUAGCUGUAGAAGGUUAAUUUCAAUUGCUACUUAUUUAACUUCACCAACCAGAUUAACGUUUUGCUUUUGUUGAUGUAUAGAUUUUUCCCUGCACUCUAGAUUUAGCAGUAGGAACUUAGCAUAAGAGGUCAUUUUCUUGAAAAAUAUUAGACCAGAAGGAUGAGUCCAUAGGCCACGAGAGAGAGUGGAGUUUACGGGAGAAUUGGUUUUACUCUUAGGUGGGAUAUUUAUACAAUAGUUGGUUCGAUUUUAUUCUUUUACUUUUUCUAUUAUUUUUGGAUGGGAUUUUGGCUAAUUCUUCGUAAAAUUGUGAGUCUCCCAACUAGAUUGGUCUUAGCUUAAUAUCCCACUAAUUGGAUUAGCAUUCAACAUGGAUCCUGAUUUAAACUACUUUAAGCAUAUUGUGCUUUGUGGGAUUGCGGAUAAAGAUGUUACAUCUUUGAAGAAAGAGGCAGAUGUAGAGCUUCCUGCUGAAGAAGUGAUACAGGAACAGUUGAUCGCUUGUUUUGUAAGAAUAUUUGGGUACAAUGAUGUCAUUUUGAAAGAUAAGUCAGUAUUAUAAUUUGUUAAGCAAUAAUGUUGAAACAGUCUGAUACAUUAUGUGACAAAUUCUUGUAUAAGUUAACAUUGUUCAUUUAGUGAACUCUGAACAAAUAACAUUCUGGAUGAAUAAGCGAUGAUUAAGAAAGCUCAAAGCAAUUACUGAUUUUAAAUGAGUAUCAAGUUCGAAAUAGGUACAUGUAAGGCAAGCUGUGGACAUAUCAUGUAGGAUCCACUGUUUAUCCUUCUUGGGCACCUUUUGACAUUGAAAGUGAAAGUAUUUCAGUUCUUUGGCAAAGCCUAUGUGUCUAUCCGUUAUUAGCAGUAUGGAUAUCAUCAUCUGGAAAAACACAAUUUACUGAUCAAAGUAUAAUCUGUUGAUUGGUAUUGCGUAUUAAUAAGAUGUUGUCGUGUGCUGGAGCUGAUAGGCUCCAAACUGGAACGAGGGGAGCUUUUGGUAAGCCCCAGGGUGUUUGUGCUCGUGUUGCUAUUGGUCAGGUUCUUCUCUCAGUUCGCUGCAAAGAUGGCAACAGCAACCAUGCCCAAGAGGCUCUGCGCCGUGCUAAGUUCAAGUUCCCUGGUCGACAAAAGAUCAUUGUCAGCAGGAAGUGGUAUGCCGCCCUAACAUUCUAAUUUUCUUUUUAUGUAUCUUUGUACAUUUCCAUUCUGUUUAUUAGUCAUCAGUUUGCACAUUAGUGUAUAGGGUGCUGCAUUACUUCAUUAGUAACUUUAAGAAGGUACAUUUUAAAGCAGAUAUGAAUUUCUGUGUGUUGAUGAUAACUUUAUCCAAACCAAUUCUCGGAUUGUGUUCCAUCCGAGAUUUAUUAAUUACCAAAAAUCCUGGUUGUUUCUUUGAGCUGAAUUCACCCAUUCUUCAUACAGAAAGGCACUAAUCAUGAAUUUGAGUGUUGACAUAUCUACUUUUCUUAGUUUCUAAAGGUGGAGGAAUAAACAUUGUGUGAUUUUAGGUAGACAAGUGGAGAAAGUCAUCCGUUUCAGAAGUUCGUUGAUCAAACAUGUUUGUAUUUCAUCUGUGCUGUCUUUUUAAUUUCAGGGGGUUCACCAAGUUCAGCCGUACUGAUUAUCUGAAAUACAAGUCAGAAAACCGUAUCAUCCCAGAUGGUGUGAAUGCUAAGGUUUGUUUCCUUAUAUUAAAAUAUUCACAUCUCAAAGCUAAUAAAACAUACAAAUCAUGGCUCGUUUCCAGUGAUAAUUUGCACUGGUUUGCAGAUGAGAACUUACAAUAUUUUUUUAUGGUUGCUUUUGCAGCUUCUUGGGUGCCAUGGUCGACUUGCUGCACGACAACCUGGAAGGGCUUUUCUUGAAGCAGUUUAGGAAUUGGAGCAUAUUUACUUUUCUGCAUGCGACUGAAUGAAAUUUUGUGGCUUGACCUUCUCUCUACUUGUUAUCAAGUUGAAAAUUUGAGCAUAUCGAGAGGAUUGACUGUUGAUUAAUUUUUGUUAUUCUUGUGCUGUCCCUUGCCAUCUCUG
rnacentral:lncRNA from 1 species